rnacentral:rRNA from 1 species
AGAGUUUGAUUAUGGCUCAGGAUGAACGCUGGCGGCGUGCCUAACACAUUCAAGUCGAACGAACUGUAGAAAUACAGUGAGUGGCGGACGGGUGAGUAACGCGUAAGCAAUCUGCCUUUUGUGUGUGGAAUAACAACCGGAAACAGUUGCUAAUACCGCAUAACGCAUAGGAGUCGCAUGGCUCUUAUGCCAAAGAUUUAUCGCACGAAGAUGAGCUUGCGUCCGAUUAGAUAGUUGGCGGGGUAACGGCCCAUCAAGUCUACGAUCGGUAGCCGGACUGAGAGGUUGAACGGCCACAUUGGAACUGAGAUACGGUCCAGACUCCUACGGGAGGCAGCAGUGGGGAAUAUUGGGCAAUGGACGAAAGUCUGACCCAAGCGACGCCGCGUGAGGGAAGAAGGUCCUCGGAUUGUAAACCUUAGUCAACAGGGACGAAGCAAGUGACGGUACCUGUGGAGGAAGCCACGGCUAACUACGUGCCAGCAGCUGC